rnacentral:lncRNA from 8 species
AUGUUCACACACACACACGCACACACUCACAAACACACUCGACCACACAUUUCCACUUCCUCCAAACUAAAUGAGAUGGAGGGGGCCGGAUGGAUGAAGGGAAGACGGACACUACACACACACCAGUGUGUGGUACGUCAAUCAACAGGACAAUCUCCUGUGUCUCCGAGUCUCUAUUCCCUUCAUCACUUCACAGGGUCUCCUUCCACUGCACACUUCCCAAUCACUCACUGCCCUCACAGGGUCUCCUUCCACUGCACACCUCCCAAUCACUCACUGCCCUCACAGGGUCUCCUUCCACUGCACACUUCCCAAUCACUCACUGCCCUCACAGGGUCUCCUUCCACUGCACACUUCCCAAUCACUCACUGCCCUCACAGGGUCUCCUUCCACUGCACACUUCCCAAUCACUCACUGCCCUCACAGGGUCUCCUUCCACUGCACACUUCCCAAUCACUCACUGCCCUCACAGGGUCUCCUUCCACUGCACACUUCCCAAUCACUCACUGCCCUCACAGGGUCUCCUUCCACUGCACACCUCCCAAUCACUCACUGCCCUCACAGGGUCUCCUUCCAUUGCACACCUCCCAAUCACUCACUGCCCUCACAGGGUCUCCUUCCACUGCACACCUCCCAAUCACUCACUGCCCUCACAGGGUCUCCUUCCACUGCACACCUCCCAAUCACUCACUGCCCUCACAGGGUCUCCUUCCACUGCACACCUCCCAAUCACUCACUGCCCUCACAGGGUCUCCUUCCACUGCACACCUCCCAAUCACUCACUGCCCUCACAGGGUCUCCUUCUACUGCACACUUCCCAAUCACUCACUGCCCUCACAGGGUCUCCUUCCACUGCAUACUUCCCAAUCACUCACUGCCCUCACAGGGUCUCCUUCCACUGCACACCUCCCAAUCACUCACUGCCCUCACAGGGUCUGCUUCCACUGCACACCUCCCAAUCACUCACUGCCCUCACAGGGUCUCCUUCCACUGCACACCUCCCAAUCACUCACUGCCCUCACAGGGUCUCCUUCCACUGCACACCUCCCAAUCACUCACUGCCCUCACAGGGUCUCCUUCCACUGCACACCUCCCAAUCACUCACUGCCCUCACAGGGUCUCCUUCCACUGCACACUUCCCAAUCACUCACUGCCCUCACAGGGUCUCCUUCCACUGCACACCUCCCAAUCACUCACUGCCCUCACAGGGUCUUUAUGCACGUAUUCAAGUUCCCACAAUAA